rnacentral:tRNA from 1 species
GCCCUGCAAGCAUUGACGGCGAUGUGCCGGUUUUGUAAAUCGGAUAAGCCAGUUCGACUCUGGCGCGGGGCUCCA